GAGAAAGGAAGAAUACAAAAUGGAAGCCCGGGAUAGAGACCAUCUCCUGGGAAAGGGGGAGGCCACCCAAGGCCUGUCGUGGGGAGGGCUCCACUUCUCAGCCCAUCUGUAGUAGGGCCACAUUUGGGAUAGGCAAGAGCAAGGCCUACUAGAAAGGGAGACUGCUCAUCAAGAAACUGAGGGAGGCCGGGCGUGGUGGCUCAUGCCUGUAAUCCCAGCACUUUGGAAGUCCAAGCUCUCCCACUUGCCCCUCUCUUCUCCCAGCUGAGCCCAGGCCCAGUGCAACUCAAAGAAUGGAAAUUCUCUUCCGCCCACCUCAGCAAUCUGCCUCCCGCUUUGCUGAAAUAAAGCCACCGCCACAGCCGAA